ACCCCUACAGGCAAUUUAUAUUUCAAGUGGCUACUCAAAUGAUUAAGUGGAGAACAUUAAGCAAAAGGAAAAAUGAGGGAAAACAAACUGGGACAAAAUACCAGAAGAGUAAUACAACACUCACAAAACCUGAAAGUGGAAAUUGGAAAGGGAGAAAUGCAUGUUUAUAUUUUGAAAAGCAGAGACAUGCUUAGGAUGUACAGCAAAUGUGAAGGAGUAGUGUCACAAUAGUAAUCAUAAACAAUUUACUUUUUUAAGUAGGAUGGUGGACAUACAUAGGUGGACAUAAAGAGACUACAGCUAAUCAGAAUAAAUACUGAAAAUCACAAGGGGAAGUGGAUGGGAUAGAGUCAUAGAGUGGGAAAGUACAAGGGGAAAUUGAGAAUGCAAAAUAAUUAAUAUAUGCCCAGUUGCUCUGUGGCUGUACCAACAAUGAAUGGACUUUUAGCGAAAACCAGACUGAUGAGCAAGUAGUACAAAAAGUAAG